rnacentral:rRNA from 1 species
UACGUAGGGGGCAAGCGUUGUCCGGAUUUAUUGGGCGUAAAGAGCGUGUAGGCGGCCAGGUAGGUCUGCUGUGAAAACUCGAGGCUCAACCUCGAGACGUCGGCGGAAACCAUCUGGCUAGAGUCCGGAAGAGGAGAGUGGAAUUCCUGGUGUAGCGGUGAAAUGCGCAGAUAUCAGGAAGAACACCAACGGCGAAGGCAGCUCGCUGGGACGGUACUGACGCUGAGGUGCGAAAGCGUGGGGAGCAAACAGG